rnacentral:tRNA from 1 species
GGCGGUGUAGCUCAGUUGGCAGAGCAGUCGGCUCAUACCCGAUACGUCUGGGGUUCAAAUCCCUACACCGCCAC